CCUACGGGUGGCAGCAGUGAGGAAUAUUGGUCAAUGGGCGCGAGCCUGAACCAGCCAAGUAGCGUGAAGGAUGACUGCCCUACGGGUUGUAAACUUCGUUUAUAAAGGAAUAAAGUGAGGCACGUGUGCCUUUUUGUAUGUACUUUAUGAAUAAGGAUCGGCUAACACAGUGCAAGCAGCCUCGGUAAUAAGGAGGAUCCGAGCGUUAUCCGGAUUUAUUGGGUUGAAAGGGAGCGUAGAUGGGUUGUUAAGUCAGUUGUGAAAGUUUGCGGCUCAACCGUAAAAUUGCAUUUGAUACUGGCAGCCUUGAGUACAGUUGAGGUAGGCGGAAUUCGUGGUGUAGCGGUGAAAUGCUUAGAUAUCACGCAGAACUCCGAUUGCGAAGGCAGCCUACUAAACUGCCACUGACAUUGAUGCUCGAAAGUGUGGGUAUCAAACAGGAUUAGAUACCCGAGUAGUC
rnacentral:rRNA from 1 species